rnacentral:rRNA from 1 species
GACGAACGCUGGCGGCGUGCCUAAUACAUGCAAGUCGAACGGUCUUUUCUAUGGAAGCUUGCUUCCACUGAGAAGAUAGUGGCGAACGGGUGAGUAACACGUGGGUAACCUGCCCAUAAGAGGGGGAUAACAUCCGGAAACGGGUGCUAAUACCGCAUAGUUUUCUUGAUCGCAUGAUCGGGAAAGGAAAGACGGCCUUUGUGCUGUCGCUUAUGGAUGGACCCGCGGCGUAUUAGUUAGUUGGUGAGGUAACGGCUCACCAAGACGAUGAUACGUAGCCGACCUGAGAGGGUGAUCGGCCACAUUGGGACUGAGACACGGCCCAAACUCCUACGGGAGGCAGCAGUAGGGAAUCUUCCGCAAUGGACGAAAGUCUGACGGAGCAACGCCGCGUGAGUGAAGAAGGUUUUCGGAUCGCAAAACUCUGUUGUCAGAGAAGAACAAGUUGGAGAGUAACUGCUCCAGCCUUGACGGUAUCUGACCAGAAAGCCACGGCUAACU